rnacentral:rRNA from 1 species
GGGACACGUGGUAUCCUGUCUGAAUAUGGGGGGACCAUCCUCCAAGGCUAAAUACUCCUGACUGACCGAUAGUGAACCAGUACCGUGAGGGAAAGGCGAAAAGAACCCCGGCGAGGGGAGUGAAAAAGAACCUGAAACCGUGUACGUACAAGCAGUGGGAGCCUCUUAAUGGGGUGACUGCGUACCUUUUGUAUAAUGGGUCAGCGACUUAUAUUCUGUAGCAAGGUUAACCGAAUAGGGGAGCCGAAGGGAAACCGAGUCUUAACUGGGCGUUAAGUUGCAGGGUAUAGACCCGAAACCCGGUGAUCUAGCCAUGGGCAGGUUGAAGGUUGGGUAACACUAACUGGAGGACCGAACCGACUAAUGUUGAAAAAUUAGCGGAUGACUUGUGGCUGGGGGUGAAAGGCCAAUCAAACCGGGAGAUAGCUGGUUCUCCCCGAAAGCUAUUUAGGUAGCGCCUCGUGAAUUCAUCUCCGGGGGUAGAGCACUGUUUCGGCAAGGGGGUCAUCCCGACUUACCAACCCGAUGCAAACUGCGAAUACCGGAGAAUGUUAUCACGGGAGACACACGGCGGGUGCUAACGUCCGUCGUGAAGAGGGAAACAACCCAGACCGCCAGCUAAGGUCCCAAAGUCAUGGUUAAGUGGGAAA